rnacentral:rRNA from 1 species
AUUGAACGCUGGCGGCAUGCUUUACACAUGCAAGUCGAACGGUAACAGGGUGCUUGCACCGCUGACGAGUGGCGAACGGGUGAGUAAUGCGUCGGAACGUGCCGAGUAAUGGGGGAUAACGCAUCGAAAGGUGUGCUAAUACCGCAUACGCUCUGAGGAGGAAAGCUGGGGAUCGAAAGACCUGGCGUUAUUCGAGCGGCCGACGUCUGAUUAGCUAGUUGGUGAGGUAAAGGCUCACCAAGGCGACGAUCAGUAGCGGGUCUGAGAGGAUGAUCCGCCACACUGGGACUGAGACACGGCCCAGACUCCUACGGGAGGCAGCAGUGGGGAAUUUUGGACAAUGGACGCAAGUCUGAUCCAGCCAUUCCGCGUGCAGGGAUGAAGGCCCUCGGGUUGUAAACUGCUUUUGUACGGAACGAAAAGGUCUCUAUUAAUACUAAGGGGCUCAUGACGGUACCGUAAGAAUAAGCACCGGCUAACUACGUGCCAG